AUACGUAGGGAGCGAGCGUUGUCCGGAAUUACUGGGUGUAAAGGGUGCGUAGGCGGGGAUGCAAGUCAGAUGUGAAAUGUAUGGGCUCAACCCAUGAACUGCAUUUGAAACUGCAACUCUUGAGUGAGGUAGAGGUAAGCGGAAUUCCUAGUGUAGCGGUGAAAUGCGUAGAUAUUAGGAGGAACAUCGGUGGCGAAGGCGGCUUACUGGGCCUUUACUGACGCUGAGGCACGAAAGCGUGGGGAGCAAACAGGAUUAGAUGCCCUGGUAGUCCACGCUGUAAACGAUGAUUACUAGGUGUUGGGGACCAAAGGUCCUCGGUGCCGCCGCAAACGCAUUAAGUAAUCCACCUGGGGAGUACGUUCGCAAGAAUGAAACUCAAAGGAAUUGACGGGG
rnacentral:rRNA from 1 species